GGGGUUGUGGCUCAGUGGAAGAGCGCUCGCCUAGCAUGCGUGGGGCACUGGGUUCGAUCCUCAGCACCA
rnacentral:tRNA from 1 species